rnacentral:rRNA from 1 species
AGAGUUUGAUCAUGGCUCAGGACUAACGCUGGCGGCAUGCCUAAUACAUGCAAGUCGUACGGGGUCAGUUGGGGUAACUCGGCUGACCUAGUGGCGCACGGGUGAGUAAGACGUAGGUAACCUGCCCUUUUGACUGGGAUACCGGACUGAAAGGUCCGCUAAUACCGGAUGACAUCCUCUCCUCGCAUGGGGAGGGGAUCAAAGGGAUGCCUCUGACUCAAGCAUUCGCUGAGGGAUGGGCCUACGCGCUAUUAGCUAGUUGGUAGGGUAACGGCCUACCAAGGCGAUGAUGGCUAGCCGGCUUGAGAGAGUGUCCGGCCACACUGGAACUGAGACACGGUCCAGACUCCUACGGGAGGCAGCAGUAGGGAAUUUUCCGCAAUGGGCGAAAGCCUGACGGAGCGAUGCCGCGUGAGGGAUGAAGGCCUUCGGGUUGUAAACCUCUGUUGUCGGGGACGAACGGUAUGGGGUCCAAUAGGCUCCAUGCUUGACGGUACUCGGCGAGGAAGCCCCGGCUAACUACGUGCCAGCAGCCGCGGUAACACGUAAGGGGCAAGCGUUGUCCGGAUUCACUGGGCGUAAAGGGCGCGUAGGCGGUUUCGUAAGUCAGGGGUGAAAGCUCUGGGCUCAACUCAGAAAUUGCCCUUGAAACUGCGAGGCUUGAGUGCUCCAAGGGAAGGUGGAAUUCCAGGUGUAGCGGUGAAAUGCGUAGAUAUCUGGGAGAACACCCGUGGCGAAGGCGGCCUUCUGGGGAGUAACUGACGCUGAGGCGCGAAAGCUAGGGGAGCAAACAGGAUUAGAUACCCUGGUAGUCCUAGCCCUAAACGUUGAGUACUAGGUGUUGGGAAUUACAUUCUCGGUGCCGGCGCUAACGCAUUAAGUACUCCGCCUGGGGACUACGGCCGCAAGGCUGAAACUCAAAGGAAUUG